CGGGGGUACUCGAGUGGCGAACGGGUGAGUAACACGUGGGUGAUCUGCCCUGCACUCUGGGAUAAGCCUGGGAAACUGGGUCUAAUACCGGAUAGGACCAUGCUUUAGUGUGUGUGGUGGAAAGUUUUUUCGGUGUAGGAUGAGCCCGCGGCCUAUCAGCCUGUUGGUGGGGUAAUGGCCUACCAAGGCGGCGACGGGUAGCCGGACUGAGAGGUUGGUCGGCCACAUUGGGACUGAGAUACGGCCCAG
rnacentral:rRNA from 1 species